rnacentral:lncRNA from 7 species
AAGAGACGCUGGAGAGGACAGGAGCAUCGUGGACCAGUGCGGCGUCCAGGCUGGGACAGUGGGCAAGGCGAGGUUGAGUUUUCCCAUAUUCUUCCUUUCACAUGCUGGAUCAUACACGAGCACCUGGCUGCCCCAGACACAGGACAGACCCAGCCCCACUGCUCCCGUGCAGUGGGUUCUUGCAGAGGAGGCUCAGCAAUGAAACAGCAAUGCGGUGGCAGCACGGAGGCUUCUGCCUCCCCCGGUAGUACAGGGAAUCUCAUAAUGAAAGUUGCCUUGGUGGAAGUCCCAGCUGGGCUCACACAGACCCUGGAGGCCCCGAGCCAAGGUUAUCAAUCACGGAUGCACUCCAGCUCCAGGUUUAUUUUCCUGGCUGUGUGGUCUUUGCUCUGCUCUGAAACUAUGUCUGCAUGAAGACAGUCCAGCCGUUACACAAGCUUCAAGAUAAACUCCUCACAAACCACGAUGAAAAUUGCGAGGAAAGGAGAUAAAGGGAAACAGCAAAUAAAUCACAUUGUAUUUUUU